UAGUGUCCCUACCUUCUCGUGCAGGUCGGCGAGGUGGCUGAGCGCCCGGGAGAGCGGCGCGUGCGGGUCGGCGCCGGACAGCGCGGCGGCGGCGCGCGCCGUGUCGUUGUCCCUACCUUCUCGUGCAGGUCGGCGAGGUGGCUGAGCGCCCGGGAGAGCGGCGCGUGCGGGUCGGCGCCGGACAGCGCGGCGGCGGCGCGCGCCGUGUCGUUGUCCCUACCUUCUCGUGCAGGUCGGCGAGGUGGCUGAGCGCCCGGGAGAGCGGCGCGUGCGGGUCGGCGCCGGACAGCGCGGCGGCGGCGCGCGCCGUGUCGUUGUCCCUACCUUCUCGUGCAGGUCGGCGAGGUGGCUGAGCGCCCGGGAGAGCGGCGCGUGCGGGUCGGCGCCGGACAGCGCGGCGGCGGCGCGCGCCGUGUCGUUGUCCCUACCUUCUCGUGCAGGUCGGCGAGGUGGCUGAGCGCCCGGGAGAGCGGCGCGUGCGGGUCGGCGCCGGACAGCGCGGCGGCGGCGCGCGCCGUGUCGUUGUCCCUACCUUCUCGUGCAGGUCGGCGAGGUGGCUGAGCGCCCGGGAGAGCGGCGCGUGCGGGUCGGCGCCGGACAGCGCGGCGGCGGCGCGCGCCGUGUCGUUGUCCCUACCUUCUCGUGCAGGUCGGCGAGGUGGCUGAGCGCCCGGGAGAGCGGCGCGUGCGGGUCGGCGCCGGACAGCGCGGCGGCGGCGCGCGCCGUGUCGUUGUCCCUACCUUCUCGUGCAGGUCGGCGAGGUGGCUGAGCGCCCGGGAGAGCGGCGCGUGCGGGUCGGCGCCGGACAGCGCGGCGGCGGCGCG